CACAGUAUAAUAGAAUAAUACAUAUAAUGGCUACAACAAACAUGAUAGUGAGAGGUUAUGACACUCGUGUUGCAAUAAUAUUUAUAAAUGUUGCAAGGGAUUUCAGUUCCUUUCUUUUACUGGAUGAA